CCUACGGGUGGCAGCAGUGGGGAAUAUUGCACAAUGGGGGAAACCCUGAUGCAGCGACGCCGCGUGAGUGAAGAAGUAUUUCGGGAUGUAAAGCUCUAUCAGCAGGGAAGAAAAUGACGGUACCUGAUUAAGAAGCCCCGGCUAACUACGUGCCAGCAGCCGCGGCAAUACGUAGGGGGCAAGCGUUAUCCGGAUUUACUGGGUGUAAAGGGAGCGUAGACGGCAGCACAAGUCUGGAGUGAAAUGCCGGGGCUUAACCCCGGAACUGCUUUGGAAACUGUGCAGCUAGAGUGCAGGAGAGGUCAGUGGAAUUCCUAGUGUAGCGGUGAACUGCGUAGUUAUUAGGCGGAACCCCAGUGGCGAAGGCGGCUUACUGGACUGUAACUGACGUUGAGGCUCGAAAGCGUGGGGAGCAAACCGGAUUAGAUACCCUUGUAGUC
rnacentral:rRNA from 1 species